rnacentral:rRNA from 1 species
UAACACGGUGGGCAACCGUGCCGUGUAAGACGUGGGAUAACUCCGGGAAACCGGGGCUAAUACCGGAUAAUUCUUUUCCUCACAUGAGGAAAAGCUGAAAGAUGGCAUCUCGCUAUCACUUACAGAUGGGCCCGCGGCGCAUUAGCUAGUUGGUGAGGUAACGGCUCACCAAGGCCACGAUGCGUAGCCGAACCUGAGAGGGUGAUCGGCCACACUGGGACUGAGACACGGCCCAGAACUCCUACGGGAGGCAGCAGUAGGGAAUCUUCCGCAAUGGACGAAAGUCUGACGGAGCAACGCCGCGUGAGUGAUGAAGGUUUUCGGAUCGUAAAACUCUGUUGUCAGGGAAGAACAAGUACCGGAGUAACUGCCGGUACCUUGACGGUACCUGACCAGAAAGCCACGGCUAACUACGUGCCAGCAGCCGCGGUAAUACGUAGGUGGCAAGCGUUGUCCGGAAUUAUUGGGCGUAAAGCGCGCGCAGGCGGUUCCUUAAGUCUGAUGUGAAAGCCCCCGGCUCAACCGGGGAGGGUCAUUGGAAACUGGGGAACUUGAGUGCAGAAGAGAAGAGUGGAAUUCCACGUGUAGCGGUGAAAUGCGUAGAGAUGUGGAGGAACACCAGUGGCGAAGGCGACUCUUUGGUCUGUAACUGACGCUGAGGCGCGAA